rnacentral:rRNA from 1 species
UGUGCACUUUUCUCUUAGUAGGACGUCGUGAUCCAUUAGAAAUUGGUAUACGCCAGUAUAUGUUGGGUCAUCAAUAGGCCAAUGUGAAGUUUCUCGGAACGAAUGGCACAGUCUUUUACGGUUGUGUGUAUCGUCUGGGAAGCGCGUAUGACUGUCUGAUGGAUUUUAGAGAUCACAUUAUUGAUGAUGGGAGCUUAUGUGUGUCCGAUCAACGGCGGUUAAAUUUGGGAUACCUUUUGGACCCGUCUUGAAACACGGACCAAGGAGUCCAUCUAGUAUGCGAGUAAAUGGGUAGCUUGAAACCUAUUUGCAGAAAAAACUUGACUGUUUGCUGCUCUCUUCCAUCCCGGAGUAUUUUCAUCAACAUAUGCAAAAGUAUAUGGAAAAUAUAUCAUGAGCACACUGGAUGCGACCCGAAAGAUGGUGAACUAUGCCUGAUCAGGUCGAAGUCAGGGGAAACCCUGAUGGAGGACCGAAGCAGUUCUGACGUGCAAAUCG